rnacentral:lncRNA from 1 species
UUUUAUUCAAUUGCCAAGGGGGGUAUUUUAUUCCAUUAUUGAGGGUCCAUAUCAAGAGGAUCAUUUCAUUCCAUUCCAAGAGGGUCAUUUCAUUCCAUUCCUAGAGUGCAUUUCAUUCUAUUGAUGAGAGUUUCAUUCCUGUUGAGAGGGCCAUUUCAUUCAAUUAAUGAAAAGCCAUGUCAAGAGGGCCAUUUCAUUUCAUAUCGAGAGUCCCAUCAUACAAUUUAGAUAAGUUUUCAUAACUGCUCAUAUGAAAGAUGAUAAGGUUGGGUUUUGAAAGAUGCUUUAGAUCACAUUUAUCCAUUGACCAUACAAAGAUAACACAAUCUGGCGUCGAGGAUAUCUAAGGAUUUUAUAUUUGUUGACCAUGCAAAAGGAGAUGUAGACCGAUGUCGAGGAUAUUUCAACAUUUUAUGUAUCAACAUUUGAAUGCAUUACCAUAUCAAGAUGAAAAAGCACGUAAUCCAAAGAAACUUUUUUAGGUCACUAACUGAAGGUGGAUGACAUAAUAGAUUUCCCAGAAAUUGACAAUUAGAAGGUCAUAUAUAAGCCACAAUAUUUGAGAUAGGAUUAUGGUCAAGAUUUCCUGUGAGUUGAUGGUCUAUGGUUCAUUCAUAAGUUGCAAACAACAUCCUAACCGGAUAGAAUACUAGAUUAUCCAAAAAUUGACAAUUCGAAGGUUAUCCAUGAGCCUAGCUAAAUCAUUACCGGUUGAUGUACAAGAUUCUCAAAAUUGGCAGUCUGAGGGUUCUCUAUAAGGUGCAACACAUCUAAGAUUAAUUAUGUGCAGGACUAGCCAAAGACUGACAAUUUGAGGGAUGUCCAUAAGCCGUAUUGCAUCCAAGGUUGGAUAAUGUGCAAGAUUAUCUAAAAAGCUGGAGGUUUAAGGGAUAUCUAUAAGACAUCUCUUAUCUAAAGUUGGAUGAUUUGUAGGAUCACCCAGAAGACCAUCAACUCAAAGGAUGUUGUAAGUCAUCUUAUAUCCAACAUCGGAUAAUAUGCAAGAUUACCCCAAGAUUGAAAAAUUGAUGGAUAUCUAUGAGUUAUAUCGAUAUGAAAUAUGCGCAAGACUUACCCAACAAUCGCAUACAAAGGAUCAUUGUUGAUAGACAAAGAGGUUAUCAUUCUAUAUACAAGAAGUAUUAUAGGUGACCAAGAGGGUUUCCACAUCAACAUAAGAUUUCACGAUUGUAGGGACCGAUCUACAUGAAGUGUCAUCGGUACC